AGGAUAAACGCUGGCGGCGUGCCUAACACAUGCAAGUCGAACGCCCUUUUCCCGCAAGGGGGGAGGGAGUGGCGGACGGGUGAGGAACACAUGGGUGACCUACCUUUCAGUGAGGAAUACCGGCGAGAAAUCGCCGACAAUACCGCAUGCGUUUCACGGAAGUGAAAGAAAGUCGUAAGACGCCGAGGGAUGAGCCUGCGCCCGAUUAGUUUGUUGGUGGGGUAAAAGCCUACCAAGACUACAAUCGGUAGCUGGUCUGAGAGGACGAUCAGCCACACUGGGAUUGAGAACGGCCCAGACUCCUACGGGGGGCAGCAGUGAGGAAUUUCGUCAAUGGGGGCAACCCUGAACGAGCAACGCCGCGUGCAGGAAGAAGGUUUUCGGAUCGUAAACUGUCUUUCUGUGGGAAGAGAACGGACGGUACCACGAGGAAGAGCCCCGGCUAACUACGUGCCAGCAGCCGC
rnacentral:rRNA from 1 species